AGGGUUUGAUUAUGGCUCAGGACGAACGCUGGCGGCGUGCUUAACACAUGCAAGUCGAACGGAGAAUUUAUUUCGGUAAAUUCUUAGUGGCGAACGGGUGAGUAACGCGUAGGCAACCUGCCCUCCAGUUGGGGACAACAUUCCGAAAGGAAUGCUAAUACCGAAUGUGAUCCCUUUUCCGCAUGGAGAAGGGAUGAAAGAUGGCCUCUAUUUAUAAGCUAUCGCUGGAAGAUGGGCCUGCGUCUGAUUAGCUAGUUGGUGGGGUAACGGCUCACCAAGGCGAUGAUCAGUAGCCGGUCUGAGAGGAUGAACGGCCACAUUGGGACUGAGACACGGCCCAA
rnacentral:rRNA from 1 species